rnacentral:rRNA from 1 species
UACGGGGGGAGCAAGCGUUGUUCGGAUUUACUGGGCGUAAAGGGCGCGUAGGCGGCCACCGCAAGUCAGUUGUGAAAUCUCUGGGCUUAACCCAGAAAGGUCAACUGAUACUGCGGGGCUAGAGUGCAGAAGGGGCAACUGGAAUUCUCGGUGUAGCGGUGAAAUGCGUAGAUAUCAGGAGGAAUACCGGUGGCGAAAGCGACUCUCUGGACGGCAACUGACGCUGAGGCACGAAAGCGUGGGGAGCAAACAGG